AUGCCAUCGGCAGCGCUGGCUGCCACGCCGGACUCUCCGUCGCCGUCGCCGCACCACUACCGCGGCCGGUUACGCUCGCCGCUGGCAAACGGCGGCACCAAGGGGAACUUCGAGCUCCGGCACUGGCGCACGCCGCUCAAGCGGGCUCCGUCGUGCCCCCCGCCGGGGAUCGAGAUACCCAGCAACGACGACGAUGGCAGCGGGAACGGGUACACCAGCCUCCGGGACAUCCUAGCGUCGCCGCGGUACACGGGGGCAGGGAGCUCGCCGGCGGCCUGCGUCAUCGGUGGCGCCGGCAGCUGUGGGGACAUACACAUGAUACGCCACCCGCUGGUAAAACACGCGGCGUACGCGUACCUGCAGAUGACGCCGUCGGCGAGGGAGGACCCAACCCGCCGGAACCGGCGCUGGCGCAGCCCGCUCUGCCGCCUCCUGUUCGGCUGCCUCAGCUUCAUCGGAGCACUCUUCCGGCCGUGA
rnacentral:rRNA from 1 species